AUACGGAGGGUGCGAGCGUUAAUCGGAAUUACUGGGCGUAAAGCGUACGUAGGCGGUUUGCUAAGUCAGAUGUGAAAGCCCCGGGCUUAACCUGGGAACUGCAUUUGAUACUGGCAGACUAGAGUAUGAUAGAGGGGGGUAGAAUUCCUGGUGUAGCGGUGAAAUGCGUAGAUAUCAGGAGGAAUACCAGUGGCGAAGGCGGCCCCCUGGAUCAAUACUGACGCUGAGGUACGAAAGCGUGGGGAGCGAACAGGAUUAGAAACCCCGUAGUCC
rnacentral:rRNA from 1 species